AACUUUCAACAACGGAUCUCUUGGCUCUCGCAUCGAUGAAGAACGCAGCGAAAUGUGAUAAGUAAUGUGAAUUGCAGAAUUCAGUGAAUCAUCGAAUCUUUGAACGCAUCUUGCACUCCUUGGUAUUCCGAGGAGUAUGUCUGUUUGAGUGUCA
rnacentral:rRNA from 1 species